rnacentral:rRNA from 1 species
GAUCCUGGCUCAGGAUGAACGCUGGCGGCGCGCCUAACACAUGCAAGUCGAACGGUUAAAGCACCUUCGGGUGUGUAUAAAGUGGCGAACGGCUGAGUAACACGUGGGCAACCUGCCCCUCGCACCGGGACAGCCUCGGGAAACCGUGGUUAAUACCGGAUACGCCCGCACCGCCGCAUGGCGGGGCGGGAAAGCCCCGACGGCGAGGGAUGGGCCCGCGGCCUGUUAGCUAGUUGGUGGGGUAACGGCCCACCAAGGCCAUUAUGGGUAGCUGGGUUGAGAGACCGACCAGCCAGAUUGGGACUGAGACACGGCCCAGACUCCUACGGGAGGCAGCAGUGGGGAAUCUUGCACAAUGGGCGAAAGCCUGAUGCCAGCGACGCCGCGUGCGGGACGAAGGCCUUCGGGUUGUAAACCGCUUUCAGCAGGGACGAGGCCGCGAGGUGACGGUACCUGCAGAAGAAGCCCCGGCUAACUACGUGCCAGCCGCCGC